rnacentral:tRNA from 1 species
GUUAGGGUGGCCGAGCGGUCUAAGGCGCCAGACUCAAGAAGGGUCUUCUUGGUGUUCCGGUCCACGAACGUAGGCGUGGGUUCGAAUCCCACCUCUGACA